CCUACGGGGGGCAGCAGUUAUUAAUAUUUUUCAAUUUCCUUAAUUCUUAACCAUCCAUUCCUCUUUAAUGUCAGUGCCCUAUGGGCGUUAAACUUCUUUUGUGCGGGAGCAAUAAUGGUCACGUGUGGCCAGACGAGAGUACCGUACGAAUAAGCAUCGGCUAACUCCGUGCGAGCAGCCGCGGUAAUACGGGGGAUGCAAGCGUUAUCCGGAUUUAUUGGGUUUAAAGGGUGCGUAGGCUGUGAGGUAAGUCAGCGGUGAAAUGCCCCCGCUCAACGGGGUGAAGUGCCAUUGAUACUGCCUUGCUGGAAUGCGGAUGCCGUGGGAGGAAUGUGUGGUGUAGCGGUGAAAUGCAUAGAUAUCACACAGAACACCGAUUGCGAAGGCAUCUCACGAAUCCGCGAUUGACGCUGAUGCACGAAAGCGUGGGUAUCAAACAGGAUUAGAUACCCUUGUAGUC
rnacentral:rRNA from 1 species